UCAGUCAAUACAUUGAGCCUAAUACUAUCAAACUAGAAUAAAACCUGACCCAAUACUUCAAUAUGCAGACCUAUAUAAAUGUCUUUAGGGUUUUCAAAUUGCAUUUUAUUGUCUUCUCCACCAUUUGAGCUUCCUUCCAGGUGAGUAACCAUGGUUUCAAUGACCUUCAAUCCUCAAUUUAUGGUGUUGUUCCACUGGAUCAUUAACUCCUUGCCUAAAAUCUGGAAGAUUCCUGCUAUAAACAGCUCCCUAAAAUGUGGAAGGUAGUGAGAUAAAGGCUGCUCAGACCCACCAUUUUUGGAGAUGUGGUCUGCUUCUCAGGUGUAUUGGUUAGGUUAAAUUCACUCAACCCUUCCUCAUUACAUGAAGUGCACUUUUGAUGGAUGAAUCUGUAUAGGCUAGAUAGCUCUUGACUAUAGAUUGUACAUAGGUAUUUUUAAUCUAAUUUAACUCUAUUAGCUAUAACUAUAGCCUUCAGCCUCUUUAUUUUUUUUCAGUGACAAUCGUAUGUAUGUACACUGUAACUUAUCACUGUUAAGGAUUUUCUUACCUUUGACAUGUAAUUGCUGAAAUAUUAUUA